AUUGAACGCUGGCGGCAUGCCUUACACAUGCAAGUCGAACGGUAACAGGUCUUCGGAUGCUGACGAGUGGCGAACGGGUGAGUAAUACAUCGGAACGUGCCUAGUAGUGGGGGAUAACUACUCGAAAGAGUGGCUAAUACCGCAUGAGCUCUACGGAUGAAAGCAGGGGAUCGCAAGACCUUGUGCUACUAGAGCGGCCGAUGGCAGAUGAGGUAGUUGGUGGGAUAAAAGCUUACCAAGCCGACGAUCUGUAGCUGGUCUGAGAGGACGAACGGCCAGACUGGAACUGAGACACGGCCCAGACUCUUACGGAAGGCAGAAGUGGGGAAUUUUGGACAAUGGGCACAAGCCUGAGCCAGCAAUGCCGCUUGCAGGAUGAAGUCCUUCGGGUUGUAAACUGCUUUUGUACGGAGCGAAAAGCCCAGGGUUAAUACCCUGGGGUGAUGACGGUACCGGAAGAAUAAGCACCGGCUAACUACGUGCCAGCCGCCGCGGUAAUAC
rnacentral:rRNA from 1 species